rnacentral:rRNA from 1 species
AAUAGAUACCCUGGUAGUCCACGCCGUAAACGAUGAGUGCUAAGUGUUAGAGGGUUUCCGCCCUUUAGUGCUGCAGCUAACGCAUUAAGCACUCCGCCUGGGGAGUACGGUCGCAAGACUGAAACUCAAAGGAAUUGACGGGGGCCCGCACAAGCGGUGGAGCAUGUGGUUUAAUUCGAAGCAACGCGAAGAACCUUACCAGGUCUUGACAUCCUCUGACAACUCUAGAGAUAGAGCGUUCCCCUUCGGGGGACAGGGUGACAGGUGGUGCAUGGUUGUCGUCAGCUCGUGUCGUGAGAUGUUGGGUUAAGUCCCGCAACGAGCGCAACCCUUGAUCUUAGUUGCCAGCAUUUAGUUGGGCACUCUAAGGUGACUGCCGGUGACAAACCGGAGGAAGGUGGGGAUGACGUCAAAUCAUCAUGCCCCUUAUGACCUGGGCUACACACGUGCUACAAUGGAUGGUACAAAGGGCUGCAAGACCGCGAGGUCAAGCCAAUCCCAUAAAACCAUUCUCAGUUCGGA